ensembl:miRNA MIR4761 microRNA 4761
GGACAAGGUGUGCAUGCCUGACCCGUUGUCAGACCUGGAAAAAGGGCCGGCUGUGGGCAGGGAGGGCAUGCGCACUUUGUCC